rnacentral:rRNA from 1 species
CCUACGGGAGGCAGCAGUGAGGAAUAUUGGUCAAUGGGCGCGAGCCUGAACCAGCCAAGUAGCGUGAAGGAUGACUGCCCUAUGGGUUGUAAACUUCUUUUAUACAGGGAUAAAGUGAGGCACGUGUGCUUUUUUGUAUGUACUUUAUGAAUAAGGAUCGGCUAAUUCCGUGCCAGCAGCCGCGGUAAUACGGAAGGUCCGAGCGUUAUCCGGAUUUAUUGGGUUUAAAGGGAGCGUAGGUGGGUUGUUAAGUCAGUUGUGAAAUUCUGCGGCUCAACCGUAGAAGUGCAAUUGAUACUGGCAGUCUUGAGUGCAGUUGAGGUAGGCGGAAUUCGUGGUGUAGCGGUGAAAUGCUUAGAUAUCACGAAGAACUCCGAUUGCGAAGGCAGCUUACUAAACUGCCACUGACAUUGAUGCUCGAAAGUGUGGGUAUCAAACAGGAUUAGAUACCCGAGUAGUC